rnacentral:rRNA from 1 species
AGCGAACGCUGGCGGCAGGCCUAACACAUGCAAGUCGAACGGAUCCUUCGGGAUUAGUGGCGGACGGGUGAGUAACACGUGGGAACGUGCCCUUUGGUUCGGAACAACUCAGGGAAACUUGAGCUAAUACCGGAUGUGCCCUUCGGGGGAAAGAUUUAUCGCCAUUGGAGCGGCCCGCGUCUGAUUAGCUAGUUGGCGAGGUAACGGCCCACCAAGGCGACGAUCAGUAGCUGGUCUGAGAGGAUGAUCAGCCACACUGGGACUGAGACACGGCCCAGACUCCUACGGGAGGCAGCAGUGGGGAAUCUUGCGCAAUGGGCGAAAGCCUGACGCAGCCAUGCCGCGUGAAUGAUGAAGGUCUUAGGAUUGUAAAAUUCCUUCAGCGGGGACGAUAAUGACGGUACCCGCAGAAGAAGCUCCGGCUAACUUCGUG